UGGAUGACUUUGUUUCUCCCUCCCCAAGUCUGCAUCAGCUGGGGGUUUGGAUGUUUUCCCAGCCACCAACAUUGACAGGGAUUUACCACCAGGACCCGAACAUUUGAAAUCCCAAUUCCAUGUUGGGACAUUGGCAGAGUGAGCAUAAGAGAUAUUCCUUGAGACUAAACUACAGUUCCUAUCUUUACCUGGAUCCCUCUCCAAGUUUCCUCCUCUUCUCAGGGACCCUGCCAAAUGUUAAUCAACUUGUUUGAAACCCAGCUAUGAUACAAAUCGGCAAGUUCCUCAAAGAUCCAGUGAAAUUAAUAUCCUUGUGACUGAAUUUCAAUUCACAUUAUUUUUAGCACAUACAUCAACAAACUCAUCUCAUUUACUGACAUGAAGGGCAAUGAAAGAAAGAAUGGCAAA